UACGUAGGGUGCAGGCGUUAAUCGGAAUUACUGGGCGUAAAGCGUGCGCAGGCGGUCUAUUAAGACAGGUGUGAAAUCCCCGGGCUUAACCUGGGAAUUGCGCUUGUAACUGAUAGGCUUGAGUGUGGCAGAGGGGGGUGGAAUUCCAGGUGUAGCGGUGAAAUGCGUAGAUAUCUGGAGGAACACCGGUGGCGAAGGCGGCAUCCUGGACCGGCAUUGACGCUGAGGCGCGAAAGCCAGGGGAGCAAACGGG
rnacentral:rRNA from 1 species